rnacentral:tRNA from 1 species
GAGAGAGGCUUGCUAGCAAUGGAGACUGCUAAUCUCCACUAUCUUGGUUGAAUCCCAGGGCUCACUCG